rnacentral:rRNA from 1 species
AUUGAACGCUGGCGGCAGGCCUAACACAUGCAAGUCGAGCGGGGUUUUCGGACCUAGCGGCGGACGGGUGAGUAAUGCGUAGGAAGCUACCCGAUAGAGGGGGAUACCAGUUGGAAACGACUGUUAAUACCGCAUAAUGUCUACGGACCAAAGUGUGGGAUCUUCGGGCCACAUGCUAUCGGAUGCGCCUACGUGGGAUUAGCUAGUUGGUGGGGUAAUGGCUCACCAAGGCGACGAUCCCUAGCUGGUUUGAGAGGAUGAUCAGCCACACUGGAACUGAGACACGGUCCAGACUCCUACGGGAGGCAGCAGUGGGGAAUAUUGGACAAUGGGCGCAAGCCUGAUCCAGCCAUGCCGCGUGUGUGAAGAAGGCCUUCGGGUUGUAAAGCACUUUCAGCGAGGAGGAAGGGAGUUGUGUUAAUAGCACAGCUUCUUGACGUUACUCGCAGAAGAAGCACCGGCUAACUCUGUGCCAGCAGCCGCGGUAAUACAGAGGGUGCAAGCGUUAAUCGGAAUUACUGGGCGUAAAGCGCACGUAGGCGGUUUUUUAAGUCAGAUGUGAAAGCCCCGGGCUCAACCUGGGAAUUGCAUUUGAAACUGGAAAACUAGAGUGUGUGAGAGGGGGGUAGAAUUCCAAGU